rnacentral:rRNA from 1 species
GCAGAGUUUGAUCAUGGCUCAGAUUGAACGCUGGCGGUAUGCUUAACACAUGCAAGUCGAACGGUAACAGGCUUCGGGCGCUGACGAGUGGCGGACGGGUGAGUAACGCGUAGGAAUCUGCCUCAUAGUGGGGGACAACUUGGGGAAACUCAAGCUAAUACCGCAUACGCCCUACGGGGGAAAGCGGGGGACUUCGGGCCUCGCGCUAUGAGAUGAGCCUGCGUUAGAUUAGCUAGUUGGUGGGGUAAAGGCUUACUAAGGCGACGAUCUUUAGCUGGUCUGAGAGGACGAUUAGCUACACUGGGACUGAGACACGGCCCAGACUCCUACAGGAGGUAGCAGUGGGGAAUAUUGGACAAUGGGCGAAAGCCUGAUCCAGCAAUACCGUGUGUGUGAAGAAGGCUUCAGGGUUGUAAAGCACUUUCAAUUGGGAGGAAAACUACCGUCAAUACCCGGUAGCUUGACAUUACCUUUAGAAGAAGCACCGGCUAACUCCGUGCCAGCAGCUGCGGUAAUACGGAGNGUGCUAGCGUUUAUCGGAAUUACUGGGCGUNAAGCGUGCGUAGGCGGUUAUUUUAGUCAGAUGUGAAAGCCCCGGGCUUAACCUGGGNACUGCAUUUGAUNCUGGGUAACUAGAGUUUAGUAGAGGAGAGUGGAAUUUCAGGUGUAGCGGUGAAAUGCGUAGAGAUCUGAAGGAACACUAGUGGCGAAGGCGCCUCUCUGGAUUAAAACUGACGCUGAGGUACGAAAGCGUGGGUAGCAAACAGGAUUAGAUACCCUGGUAGUCCACGCCGUAAACGAUGUCAACUAGCCGUUGGGCUUUUAUACAGGUUUAGUGGCGCAGAACGCAUUAAGUUGACUGCCUGGGGAGUACGGCGGCAAGGUUAAAACUUUAAUGAAUUGAUGGGGGCCGCACAAGCGGUGGAGUAUGUGGUUUAAUUCGAUNNAACGCGAAGAACCUUACCUACCCUUGACAUCCAGAGAAUCUGUUAGAGAUAGCGGAGUGCUUCGGGAACUCUGAGACAGGUGCUGCAUGGCUGUCGUCAGCUCGUGUCGUGAGAUGUUGGGUUAAGUCCCGUAACGAGCGCUACCCUUAUCCUUAGUUGCUAGCACAUCAUGGUUGGGAACUCUAGGGAGACUGCCGGUGAUAAACCGGAGGAAGGUGGGGACGACGUUUAGUCANNAUGGCCCUUAUGGGUAGGGCUACACACGUGCUACAAUGGCCGGUACAGAGGGUAGCGAACUUGCGAAAGUAAGUAAAUCCCACAAAGCCNGNCUUNGUCCGGAUUGGAGUCUGCAACUUGACUCUAUGAAGUCGGAAUCGCUAGUAAUCGCGAAUCAGAAUGUCGCGGUGAAUACGUUCCCGGG